GACGAACGCUGGCGGCGUGCUUAACACAUGCAAGUCGAACGGAAAGGCCCUGCUUUUGUGGGGUGCUCGAGUGGCGAACGGGUGAGUAACACGUGAGUAACCUGCCCUUGACUUUGGGAUAACUUCAGGAAACUGGGGCUAAUACCGGAUAGGAGCUCCUGCUGCAUGGUGGGGGUUGGAAAGUUUCGGCGGUUGGGGAUGGACUCGCGGCUUAUCAGCUUGUUGGUGGGGUAGUGGCUUACCAAGGCUUUGACGGGUAGCCGGCCUGAGAGGGUGACCGGCCACAUUGGGACUGAGAGACGGCCCAGACUCCUACGGGAGGCAGCAGUGGGGAAUAUUGCACAAUGGGCGGAAGCCUGAUGCAGCAACGCCGCGUGCGGGAUGACGGCCUUCGGGUUGUGAACCGCUUUCGCCUGUGACGAAGCGUGAGUGACGGUAAUGGGUAAAGAAGCACCGGCUAACUACGUG
rnacentral:rRNA from 1 species